GUGCUGAGCCUGCUAGAGUCUCAAGGAAGAGCUAAGACUGUCAUUACUCCAGAUUCAUCUCACCCUUCUGCCCCCCCCCCGCCCCCGCCCCCGGGUUCCUUGCUAAGCUCUGCAUCCAGCUUGCUUCCAUGGCUUCCCAACAGGAAGCUCUGCUCUGUGCCCAUGGCACCUUAGGAUUCUUUACACAGAUGCUGAUGCUUCGAGAAGGCACAGGACUCUGAAGGUCCCGGCCAAAAGAGAGUGAGCAGGAGUUCAAACACAAGCCUCUGCCCUGGCCUGGACUUCUUACAUCUUUCUUCUUUCCUGAAAGCUCUGAUGUCACCACCAGAGUGACUGUCUCUUCUGUUCCGGAGGACAUGACACAGUCUCCCAAGAAGGCAGCAAGCAACACAGCCGUCCUAAGGGCUCCCUUCUGUCACCAAGACAGAACCCAGGAACUGUUGUUCCUUGCGAUCUGUCUCAGAGAAGCACGGCCCCAUCAGGAUUUACCAGUGGCCUCCCAAUCACCUGACGCUUUCCUAGUCUUUGUCCUCUAGCUCCGUGUCACUGGACAUAGUGGUAACUGGGCUCACAUGCUUACUUUCCUGCGCUCCCCUGACCUGGACUUUCUAGCCACCUAGGAUAAAGGGCGUGGCUGUUGCUUAGGGCAGCUUCACUCUGUGGUCCAGGCUGAUGUGGAACUUGUGACCAUCUUGUCCUAGCUCCCCAUGCCUAGCCUUUAAGGCUGUUCUUUUUCAAAUUUGCCACCUCUUCAGCAUGAUUGCACUGAAGAGGCAUACCCAGCUUUUGGGGACUACCUUCCCAAGGCUUUCCCCUUCCCGUGUCAAUGGCUAGAAAGUGAACGGACGGCCACCUGGGCUGUGACCAACAGGUCCUGAGAACACAGACUUCCACCCAGCCCUGUGCUCGUCUCUGCUGAGGUCAUUCAGCUCCUGGGAUCUUCAGCAUCUCUCUUAGUCAUCAGGACCACAUUUCUGGGCAUUGUGGGCAUAAUUCACACAGUGUUCUCCUAGAACGCAGGCUGGACACCUCAGCACACAGCCCUGCUCACCCAUACCUGGCCGCACCCCUGUCACCUUACCCCUCAGACUUGUCCCACUCCUUCCUCCUCCCCUGACUUCCUCCUGCCCCUCUGGGAAGAAUCCUGGCUGCAAGCUGUUCCUGCCUCUGGCUUGUUCCAAGCUAAGACUCCCAAUUUCUACCCUUCAGAGCAUGUGGCCCCCAGGCUGCCACCCCACUCCUCAAGUUUCAACAGUACCGCUCUGUCUCUGGAAUAAAGACUGACAUUUGAGAGCCAA
rnacentral:lncRNA from 1 species